UCAUCCAGAUCUUUCCGAUGACGGUCGAGUGCGACUGCACUUUGUCCAAUAGGCUUGACAAGAAACCCCAGUCUCCCAUCUUUGGCGAUGAUGUAUACUUGCUGAUCUGGAUUCAAAAAUAUUCAACAAAAAUCACGGUUGCACAUCGAUUAAUCGAUGAAUAAUCGGUCGGCCUUUUGUACCCUAUUGUGUGUAUUUCACUUGUUUCAAAAUGUCGAAAUAAAAAUCGGAGUAUUUUGUCGCAUCACAUCGCAUCGAAUCAAUGCAACGAAUCAAUGAAUUUGAUUUCAAUUCAUUUAAUAUUUAAAAUGAUCUUGAAUCCUGGUUUUAUUUUAAAUGUGACUUGAACAAAGUUUGCCCACCUGCCCCGACAGCGUACGUAUGUGACGGGAACAAGAGCAGCUGUGUGAGGUUCAUGAAAUUGAGGUGUAAACCCAAAAAACAACCUGACGCAGCAUUCAUGACCCAAAACUUCAACAGUAUUAAAUCACUCUGCUGACUAUUUUAUUUUAUUUUUUUAAUCUAUCAAUGAGUAUUUUUGUUGUCAUCUUACCUGAUGAGCGAGGCCGAGUGGACCGUCCGCGACAGAGGUUGAGCGUUGACUGAGCUGAACCUUGGAGUGGGGUAGAGGCUGACGAAGAUCAAGUACAAAUUCUUCAGCGCAGUACUCGAAUUCUGUACUUCUUUUCCUGUUAAGCCAAAGACUUGCAUGGUGCUCCACGAUGAUUGGUUGGCCUCCGUUUCUCACUUUGGACUGGCAAUGAAAGGGGGCGGGACACACACUAAUGAUUGACAGGUCAAUGUUGAUUCCGUUCUGUGUGAUGCCGUCGUCCCUCAGCAUGUACGCCUUCUCUUGAGAGGCAGUUGGCACCGGGGUGACGGGCGUGACUGUAUAGUCCCGCCGC